UACGGGGGGGGCAAGCGUUGUUCGGAAUUACUGGGCGUAAAGAGCUCGUAGGUGGCUUGUCACGUCGGGUGUGAAAGCUUGGGGCUUAACUCCAGGUCUGCAUUCGAUACGGGCUGGCUAGAGGUAGGUAGGGGAGAACGGAAUUCCUGGUGUAGCGGUGAAAUGCGCAGAUAUCAGGAGGAACACCGGUGGCGAAGGCGGAUCUCUGGGCCUGUCCUGACGCUCAGGCGCGAAAGCUAGGGGAGCAAACAGG
rnacentral:rRNA from 1 species